AGCACUCUGAAAGAUUUGUUUGAUUUUCAGAUUUGAAUAAACUCUCACACUCAAACCCAAAUAGUCAAACCUCCUAACUGCACCAGGGCUCAGAUGGAACUGGAAGAAAAUCAUGUUGUUUCCAGAUGGGCCCUUCACCCAACCCUCAGCAUUCAGAACACACCAGGAACUUCCUCACAGCCCGCUGAAUCUGGCCUGAGCUUCUGCUUGAUUUUAGCAGUUGCACUGCACAUCUAUUUCUCCCUGUGCUUUAAAAGCAAUGCUGGUGGAACCCCAGAGCUGGUGGCUGGGAUGGCCCUGAGCAUCAGGUCCACAACACUGAUCUUCUUAAUGCAUGUCAACCCAUCACUGAAGGUCAUAAAGUCAUGUUUUCCUUAUGAACCAGAAGAUAAACAGAAAUUUCAAAAAACACUACUGUUAUAGUAGCACAAAGCAGAGGGCACAGCACUGUAAGUGAUCUCAUAGAUACUGAAUACGUGUCCUUGCACCAUAUACAACUUAAUAAGCAUCAACAUCCAUCAUAAGAGUGCUCAGACUGUCGGUCUCCCUGGCAGAGAGGCAAAGAGAAAGUGUCUCCACUCACCUUUAUGCUAUAUGCAAGAACAAGGUGAAUUCUGUAUUAUCCAGUUUACAAGCAAGCGAGUUCCAUUUUGCUGCGAUACCCUCACUCGCGAUGGCUUCUUCCUGUUACUCUCACUAGAAGACCGUUUCAGAGACUUCACUCUUCUCAUGGAUGGAGACCCUCUAAACUCCAGCCAAGAUGGACUAACUUUCAAUUUAUAUCCAUUUGUUUUAGUGACAACAUUGUCUGGUAACUCAAAUAACUUCUUGCCCUUCCUAGCAUUUGCCCUGCCCUUCGUUCCCCUCCCCUGGAUGUAUUUAUAGACAGCAAUUGUAUAGCUCUCAUUCUUUGUUUUGCCUGGUGGUACUUCUCUGCAUUUCUCUCAGUGCUCUUUCCAAAUUAUGGGGGACGGACUCUUACAGAACUCUGGAAGAGCUCUGACCACCAUCUCCUACACUGGUGUCUGUAUGUGCAUACCCUCCCUAAGCCACCUACAUCAUAUCUGAGGAGGAUCACUUUUGCCUCCUGCGUGACUCCAUUGCAGCCCUCUGAGCAUCCUUCUAUGACUGACCAAGACGUAAUAGCCCUUCUCCUGACCCCUUUCCAACCCACAGUUUAUAACAGAAACCAUUUCCAUUUUGUGUUGUUAAAUUGUCCCACACCUGCAGCUCUCAAGUUCUCCCACUCCGCCUGUCUAAAAGUAUGGAUGUUUUUGUUUUCUGAGCAUGCCGCUUUUAGCAGCAAUGAGAGCAUUAAUAAUUUCAGAGAUUAGCUGAAACCAGGAUGCUUGAAAUUCUCUAUCGGUAACCUCUAGGUACCCCAACAAUUCCUUUUUCAGAACAGAUGGUAUCGUACAUACGUAUUCUCAGCCCUUACACAUUUUAUCAAACAUUUAUUGCUUUCAUCCUAUUUUUAUUCUGUUUUAUCUCCGUGUCUUUAUUUAUUCUUUUUUGCAGAAUGUAUAUAAAAUUUGCACAUGGUUAAUUAAUGGAACUGUAAAUGUGAUGUUACUUUUUGUCCACUCUUCUCUCUCCUUUGUUUUAGCAGAUCUUUUAAGAACUUGAUUCUGUACUUGCAAUUUAAUUUGCUGCUUCUUUCAGCAUUUUAGGAUGGAUUAUGGACUUCAUUCCACUCUGAGCCUAUUCCGCUCUUUGGAUUUAAUUUUCAAGUUUGGAAAUGUUAGUUAUUACUUCUACAGAUGCUUCCCAUCUUGUUUCCAUUUUUCUACCAAAUCUAUGCCAUUCUCCUCACAGAAAAGAAAAAAAAAAAAGGGAAAGAAAAAUAAUUAUUAAGAAGUUUGGGCAUUAUCUACAUUAUUUCUAAUCUCUACUCCAUCCUCACCACAUACCAGGCCUCUUUUUAUCUCUGUGGUACAUGAAGCUUUUAGUCUUCAAAUUUGGUUUACAGAUGGUAAGUCUUAGCAAAUAUGAUUGCACUUCUUGUUGUCCAAGAGACAGUUGCUUCCCCUAUAGUUUUCACUCUCUUUGCUCACUCCUGAUAUCUUUUAUUGAGGAUUUAUUCAUCCAGCAAAGUGCUAACAUCUUUCGUUCUCUACUUAUGGUGGGAAGUGCAGAUUUGUUUUCAUUCAUAUUUAAUUUAAAGAAACCCUAAUCCCAGAUUUGGAACUUCCAUCCACUUGACAUCACUUGCUUGUUUCUCUAGUUUCUCAAAAUUUGUCCUUCUGAAGUCCUGUAUUUAACAUGCCUAUUUUUGUUUAUUCUUUCACAUAUUUUCAAUUGAAUUCAGUUGGGAUAACUUUAGCAAGGCUAUUUUCUACAACCAGCUGCUCUAUGUCAUCACUACCUAACAAAGACCACCUAGAAUAGCGUCGUACUCGUCCAGCGACUGCUCGGUGAUGAAAUCUGCCAGAUAUCAUGCCCUGGAAUAACUGACUCUGCCGUUAUCGGUAACAUUUUCUUUAUACUCUAUUUCUGUGUAGUUAAGAUUUCCCAUAAUGAGACAAUGCUUGGAAGCUGAAGUUUAGUCAUCUCUGUUAUAGACGUGUAAUCAUUCUUCUGCAGUCCUUCAGAAGACCCUUAUUCACCAUAUGUUGCCCCAAAAGUUCAACAGAUUUCAUCCUGCCCAUGCGGUCUCUGCAUUGUGCCCAAGCGAUGCCUUUGUCUCUCUGCUUUUGUUUUUAGCCUACACAUCAGCUGAAGAGCAUACCAGUCAUGGAUCAUUCAUCUACCACAUUUUGCUGUCCUCAAGAGAUUCAGGAUCAUCCUGGGCCGUGCACUCCUAGCCUGCGUCUCCUUGCACACAGUUUCUGUAUACAAAUAUCUCAGCUUGCCUUUUAUGACAUUGUACCUCCUUUUUUAUUUUGAAUUUCAUUGCUCACAUUCCUUUUAUUCCUGACAUCCAGGACAUUUGCCUCACGUUCUCACCCACAUUAAUGCUUAUUUUUCCUGCCCACAUUGCUUCCAUCUGACAUUUCUUUCUUCCCACACCAUUUCCUGCUUUUCAGAGCCAGGCAUGGAAAUCACUCACAAGCGGCCCCCAAGCUUCUCUCCUAUUUGCUUGCUUAUACGCAUAUAUAAAGGUAUAUUGUUUCCCUGUAUUAUUUUGUAGUACUGUUACAUGAUCCAAUUAUGUUAUGGAGUCACAGAAUCAUUGGAGUUGGAAGGGACCUUAAAGGUCACCUAGCCCAACCCCCCGCAAUGUGGAUAUAUUGCUAUCAAUUACAGCAAUCCUAACUGCAGGAAAAGAAUACCACACAUGCUCAGAUGGAGUUCAUCUGCUUUCUGUGAAAAAUCCUCUUUCCUCUCAAAAGAUAAAUGCUUUACAACGCUCCCCAUAACAUCAAUUCUUAAAACAUCUGCUACUCUUUAUUAUCUCACAUGCUUUAACACACCCUCUUCAGGAAUGGAGCUCUGUUGUUGCAGCUUUUCCUUCGGGACAAACCGACUCAGACACACUUCCCAUUUUGUGUUCAUCUCAGUGCUCUCUCCUUCCACCCUUCAUACUACAGUGUGAGCUGAUGUAAAGCUGUUUCAUUCCAGAAAUGACGGUGUUGCCACAGAGGUCAACGUGGCUUGUUUUACAGAUGAAAGCAAACAAAACAACUUGCACACUCACACUGUGUAUGCAUCUGACUGCAAUAAAAUUAUUUUAGCUCAAAAUUAUGUCA
rnacentral:lncRNA from 1 species